GUGUGAUUUGUGGCAAAGUGAUGAGCUAUGAUUCCAUCCCCUUGUUGCAAACCUCACGC
rnacentral:pre_miRNA from 1 species